rnacentral:rRNA from 1 species
CAGUAGCCGCGGGAAUACAGAGGCCUCAAGCGUUGUUCGGAUUCAUUGGGCGUAAAGGGUGCGUAGGUGGCUUGGUAAGUUGAAGGUGAAAUCUCGGGGCUUAACCCCGAAACUGCCUUCAAUACUGCUAGGCUCGAGGACUGUAGAGGAGAAUGGAAUUCACGGUGUAGCAGUGAAAUGCGUAGAUAUCGUGAGGAAGACCAGUGGCGAAGGCGAUUCUCUGGGCAGUUCCUGACACUGAGGCACGAAGGCCAGGGGAGCAAACGGGAUUAGAUACCCCCGUAGUCCCUGUCUCUUAUAC